rnacentral:rRNA from 1 species
GACAGAGGUGCCGAGCGUUAGGCGGAAUCACUGGGCUUAAAGCGUGUGUAGGCGGGUUCGUAAGUACCUUGUGAAAUCCCACGGCUCAACCGUGGAACUGCUUGGUAUACUGCGGGUCUUGAGCCACUUAGGGGCAAGCGGAACAAACGGUGGAGCGGUGAAAUGCGUAGAUAUCGUUUGGAACGCCAAUGGUGAAAACAGCUUGCUGGGAGUGUGCUGACGCUGAGACACGAAAGCCAGGGGAGCAAACGGG